UACGUAGGGGGCAAGCGUUGUCCGGAAUCAUUGGGCGUAAAGCGCGCGUAGGCGGCCCGGUAAGUCCGCUCUGAAAGUCCAGGGCUCAACCCUGGAAAGCGGGUGGAUACUGCCGGGCUAGAAUCCGGAAGAGGCGAGUGGAAUUCCCGGUGUAGCGGUGAAAUGCGCAGAUAUCGGGAGGAACACCAAUGGCGAAGGCAGCUCGCUGGGACGUUACUGACGCUGAGACGCGGAAAGCGUGGGGAGCAAACAGG
rnacentral:rRNA from 1 species